AAAACCGAUUAUCUGCCCAAGUCAGCAAUUUGCAAUGGCCCCUUCUUCCGUGAGGCAUUGCUCUGACACUGAAAAGGGAAUAUGUGCGAUGCCGAGUGCAAGCAAAUGGCCGCGUCCUCAUCCUGGGACAGACCCCGGAGGCGCCGCGGCGGCCGGGCUUCCUGCGGGGUCGGGGUGCGAGGAAAGCAGGGUGCCAGGCCGGGCCCCCGCGUGUUGCCCUGGCCGUGCCGUUCCCGAGUCUCACCCCUGGAAAUGUGAUAUGUGUACAUGCAGUGCAACGUUCUGAAUGCAUGAGGAUGAAGAGAGGAGCAGUAAAGUGGAAACAAGAGGAAGAGCAGAAACCACAGGUACUUUUGUGCCUACACACAUAUUCAUGACUUGCCGUGUACAGUCAGAAAUAUAUUAUUUUUGGAAUUUCAAAGCAACCCAAAUUUUCUCACAGCCUGUUCUGUAGAUUUGUAGCUGUUGAAAUCUCUACUACAAAUAAAAUCGAAAAACAAA